UGAGAGUUUGUAACUUUGGACCAUCUGAAAUAAAAUGUUCUUUUUCGUUUCCUCCCUGGUCAACGAGUCAACGACCAUGCCGGGGCGCGGACCGAGGUCAACGGGUGACUCCUCGGACAGCCCUUGGGGCAACCUAAACUUUGAGCGGCAUCUCGAAUAUCCCAUGAUUAUAACUCUUUGACUUUAAAAGAAACGAACGAAACCUUGGUUGAUCUUUGUAAGAAACCAGAGUGAAAAAACAAAGUUAGAUUGGCGAGUCAGUAACUAACAAGAUCAUCAAUGAACAAACGCUAAUCUUGCGAGGUGCUCCACGCACGAGUAGUACUCGAGCUUCCUGAUCUUCGACGCCCAAAACGAUCCAGGCGUGGAAGAGAAAGGGCUGGAUCGUUUCUUCUUGUUGGCUCGUCUGCUGCUGGAUUCGUGCUGCUGCUGCUGCUGCCGCUGCUGGUCUCGAUUCUCCUCCUGCUCUUCGCUCUCGAUCCCUUCGGGGAUCGUUUGCAAGGUGGGAUUUAGCCUCUUCUGGCGGCGGCGGAGAUAGGCGCGCUGCAUUUGCUCCUCCUCGCUGAUGAGCAUCCCAUUCCGGACGAGAUCUCGCUGGAAGAGCCCGCCCCUUGGCCGGCACCAGCGACCCAUUGCCCUAAUUCGCCCAAAUUCCUAGAUUGCCCUCACCGAUCGAUCCCAAUCGGCCAAAUCGUUAGCUCCCAUCGUUUAGCUCCUAUCGCUGGCCGGCUUACCUCAUCUCCAUCCUGGAAGACGUGGAAUAAAUCACUGGGGGGCCACGUGUCGUG
rnacentral:lncRNA from 1 species